rnacentral:rRNA from 1 species
AGUCACUGACAUUAGAUACCCGUGUAGUCCUAGCCGUAAACGAUACUCGCUAGGUGUCGGCCACGGUGCGACCGUUGUCGGUGCCGUAGGGAAGCCGUGAAGCGAGCCACCUGGGAAGUACGGCCGCAAGGCUGAAACUUAAAGGAAUUGGCGGGGAGCACCACAACGGGUGGAGCUUGCGGUUUAAUUGGAUUCAACGCCGGAAAUCUUACCGGGACCGACAGCAACAUGAAGGCCAGGCUGAAGACUUUGCCGGAUUAGCUG